GAUGAACGCUGGCGGCAGGCUUAACACAUGCAAGUCGAGCGGAGUGAUGGUGCUUGCACUAUCACUUAGCGGCGGACGGGUGAGUAAUGCUUAGGAAUCUGCCUAUUAGUGGGGGACAACAUCUCGAAAGGGAUGCUAAUACCGCAUACGUCCUACGGGAGAAAGCAGGGGAUCACUUGUGACCUUGCGCUAAUAGAUGAGCCUAAGUCGGGUUAGCUAGUUGGUGGGGUAAAGGCCUACCAAGGCGACGGUCUGUAGCGGGUCUGAGAGGAUGAUCCGCCACACUGGGACUGAGACACGGCCCAGACUCCUACGGGAGGCAGCAGUGGGGAAUAUUGGACAAUGGGGGUAACCCUGAUCCAGCCAUGCCGCGUGUGUGAAGAAGGCCUUAUGGUUGUAAAGCACUUUAAGCGAGGAGGAGGCUCUUUUGGUUAAUACCCAAGAUGAGUGGACGUUACUCGCAGAAUAAGCACCGGCUAACUCUGUGCCAGCCGCCGCGGUAA
rnacentral:rRNA from 1 species